CCUACGGGAGGCUGCAGUGGGGAAUAUUGGACAAUGGGCGAAAGCCUGAUCCAGCCAUGCCGCGUGUGUGAAGAAGGCCUUCGGGUUGUAAAGCACUUUCAGUGGGGAAGAAAGCCUUGGGGCUAAUACCCUCGAGGAAGGACAUCACCCACAGAAGAAGCACCGGCUAACUCCGUGCCAGCAGCCGCGGUAAUACGGAGGGUGCGAGCGUUAAUCGGAAUUACUGGGCGUAAAGCGCGCGUAGGCGGUCUGAUAAGCCGGUUGUGAAAGCCCCGGGCUCAACCUGGGAACGGCAUCCGGAACUGUCAGGCUAGAGUGCAGGAGAGGAAGGUAGAAUUCCCGGUGUAGCGGUGAAAUGCGUAGAGAUCGGGAGGAAUACCAGUGGCGAAGGCGAUCUUCUGGACUGACACUGACGCUGAGGUGCGAAAGCGUGGGUAGCAAACAGGAUUAGAUACCCUAGUAGUC
rnacentral:rRNA from 1 species